rnacentral:rRNA from 1 species
AGUCGAACGGUAACAGGAAGCAGCUUGCUGCUUCGCUGACGAGUGGCGGACGGGUGAGUAAUGUCUGGGAAACUGCCUGAUGGAGGGGGAUAACUACUGGAAACGGUAGCUAAUACCGCAUAACGUCGCAAGACCAAAGAGGGGGACCUUCGGGCCUCUUGCCAUCGGAUGUGCCCAGAUGGGAUUAGCUAGUAGGUGGGGUAACGGCUCACCUAGGCGACGAUCCCUAGCUGGUCUGAGAGGAUGACCAGCCACACUGGAACUGAGACACGGUCCAGACUCCUACGGGAGGCAGCAGUGGGGAAUAUUGCACAAUGGGCGCAAGCCUGAUGCAGCCAUGCCGCGUGUAUGAAGAAGGCCUUCGGGUUGUAAAGUACUUUCAGCGGGGAGGAAGGCGAUGAGGUUAAUAACCUCAUCGAUUGACGUUACCCGCAGAAGAAGCACCGGCUAACUCCGUGCCAGCAGCCGCGGUAAUACGGAGGGUGCAAGCGUUAAUCGGAAUUACUGGGCGUAAAGCGCACGCAGGCGGUCUGUCAAGUCGGAUGUGAAAUCCCCGGGCUCAACCUGGGAACUGCAUUCGAAACUGGCAGGCUAGAGUCUUGUAGAGGGGGGUAGAAUUCCAGGUGUAGCGGUGAAAUGCGUAGAGAUCUGGAGGAAUACCGGUGGCGAAGGCGGCCCCCUGGACAAAGACUGACGCUC